GAAUUCGCCCUUAGAGUUUGAUCCUGGCUCAGGAUGAACGCUGGCGGCGUGCCUAACACAUGCAAGUCGAACGAAGCACCUUACCUGAUUCUUCGGAUGAAGGUCUGGUGACUGAGUGGCGGACGGGUGAGUAACGCGUGGGUAACCUGCCCUGUACAGGGGGAUAACAGUUGGAAACGGCUGCUAAUACCGCAUAAGCGCACGAGAGGACAUCCUCUUGUGUGAAAAACUCCGGUGGUACAGGAUGGGCCCGCGUCUGAUUAGCUGGUUGGCAGGGUAACGGCCUACCAAGGCGACGAUCAGUAGCCGGUCUGAGAGGAUGAACGGCCACAUUGGAACUGAGACACGGUCCAAACUCCUAUGGGAGGCAGCAGUGGGGAAUAUUGCACAAUGGGGGAAACCCUGAUGCAGCAACGCCGCGUGAGUGAAGAAGUAUUUCGGUAUGUAAAGCUCUAUCAGCAGGGAAGAUAAUGACGGUACCUGACUAAGAAGCUCCGGCUAAAUACGUGCCAGCAGCCGCGGUAAUACGUAUGGAGCAAGCGUUAUCCGGAUUUACUGGGUGUAAAGGGUGCGUAGGUGGCAGUGCAAGUCAGAUGUGAAAGGCCGGGGCUCAACCCCGGAGCUGCAUUUGAAACUGCAUAGCUGGAGUACAGGAGAGGCAGGCGGAAUUCCUAGUGUAGCGGUGAAAUGCGUAGAGAUCGGGAGGAACACCAGUGGCGAAGGCGGCCUACUGGGCUUUAACUGACGCUGAGGCACGAAAGUGUGGGUAGCAAACAGGAUUAGAUACCCUGGUAGUCCACACUGUAAACGAUGAUUACUAGGUGUGGGGGGUCUAACCCCCUCCGUGCCGGAGUUAACACAAUAAGUAAUCCACCUGGGGAGUACGACCGCAAGGUUGAAACUCAAAGGAAUUGACGGGGGCCCGCACAAGCAGUGGAGUAUGUGGUUUAAUUCGACGCAACGCGAAGAACCUUACCAGGUCUUGACAUCCAACUAACGAAGCAGAGAUGCAUUAGGUGCCCUUCGGGGAAAGUUGAGACAGGUGGUGCAUGGUUGUCGUCAGCUCGUGUCGUGAGAUGUUGGGUUAAGUCCCGCAACGAGCGCAACCCUUGUGAUUAGUUGCUACGCAAGAGCACUCUAAUCAGACUGCCGUUGACAAAACGGAGGAAGGUGGGGACGACGUCAAAUCAUCAUGCCCUUUAUGACCUGGGCUACACACGUACUACAAUGGUCGUUAACAGAGGGAAGCAAUACCGCGAGGUGGAGCAAAACCCUAAAAACGGUCUCAGUUCAGAUUGUAGGCUGCAACUCGCCUACAUGAAGUUGGAAUUGCUAGUAAUCGCGGAUCAGCAUGCCGCGGUGAAUACGUUCCCGGGCCUUGCACACACCGCCCGUCA
rnacentral:rRNA from 1 species